rnacentral:rRNA from 1 species
CCUACGGGAGGCAGCAGUGGGGAAUAUUGCACAAUGGGGGAAACCCUGAUGCAGCGACGCCGCGUGAGUGAAGAAGUAUCUCGGUACGUAAAGCUCUAUCAGCAGGGAAGAAAAUGACGGUACCUGACUAAGAAGCCCCGGCUAACCACGUGCCAGCAGCCGCGGUAAUCCGUAGGGGGGAAGCGUUCUCCGGAUGUACUGGGUGUAAAGGGAGCGUAGACGGCAGCGCAAGUCUGGAGGGAAAUGCCGGGGCCCAACCCCGGAACUGCUUUGGAAACUGGGCAGCUAGAGUGCAGGAGAGGGAAGCGGAAGUCCUAGUGUAGCGGUGAAAUGCGUAGAUAGUAGGAGGAACACCAGUGGCGAAGGCGGCUUACUGGACUGUAACUGACGUUGAGGCUCGAAAGCGUGGGGAGCAAACAGGAUUAGAUACCCGUGUAGUC